AUGGGAACGCGAAGAACCUUACCUACUCUUGACAUCCAGAGAACUUUCCAGAGAUGGAUUGGUGCCUUCGGGAACUCUGAGACAGGUGCUGCAUGGCUGUCGUCAGCUCGUGUUGUGAAAUGUUGGGUUAAGUCCGCAACGAGCGCAACCCGUUAUCCUUUGUUGCCAGCGGUUCGGCCGGGAACUCAAAGGAGACUGCCAGUGAUAAACUGGAGGAAGGUGGGGAUGACGUCAAGUCAUCAUGGCCCUUACGAGUAGGGCUACACACGUGCUACAAUGGCGCAUACAAAGAGAAGCGACCUCGCGAGAGCAAGCGGACCUCAUAAAGUGCGUCGUAGUCCGGAUUGGAGUCUGCAACUCGACUCCAUGAAGUCGGAAUCGCUAGUAAUCGUAGAUCAGAAUGCU
rnacentral:rRNA from 1 species